CUGCUGUGGUUGAGUAACACACAAGGUCUUUGGGAGUCGGGAAAAGCACAACUUGGGUUAGGUGGUGUCUAAGGAGGGAGGUUGAAAAGAUAGUCUGGGAUCAUAUUGGAGAGUAACUUCCAAUGUUCUGUAUUUCCAUGCUUCAGAUGAGUGCCUCUUGAUGGAGGAAGAGAAGGUAUUGGGCCAGAAACAAUGGUGUGAGAAGCUCAUCAACACUCUGGAUCAGAGGAGAAGCAUGUAAAGAAGAAAGAAGUUUUGGUAUCAAGAGAUCUCCAUAAAAACCAUGGAGUUAAUUGAUUUACGUUGCCCCUUCUGGCACCAGUCAGUAGGCCUACUCGGCUCCGUCUAGGUCCACUGGAGCUGCCCUAUUAAAGUUCAGAAUUCUGUUUAUUUGUCAACUUGUCUUUGAGUCAUCAACUCUUUGGUAAUCGGGACUCUGGGUACUAAAUUUAAAAAUAAAAUAAAGGACUGUACUAAACCUCA